rnacentral:misc_RNA from 1 species
AACAAAGCGUUACAGGAAGGAUAAGUUUACAUAUCUUUUCCACCUCCCUCUGUUUUUACCUCUAUCCUAAUUUCCUUCCUCCCAAUUUGCUGUCGUGCUAAUUCAUUUCCAUCCUUUGAGGGAUAACGGCUAACGGUGAUCUGCCACCACGAUCUCAAUGUAUCUCCCGCCCCCUUUCUCCGGACUAAAUUGAAAACAGCUUUCAAACACUCCACACAGCGCAAUGCAGUCAGACUCCCUUUCUUGCAAAAACCUUGGCUGGUCAUACUCCGUCUCCACUCCACCCACUACCCAUUUAACAAAAAUCCUCAAAGAACUUAGCUUUCACUCAGACUCACAACUUCUCACUAUCCAGUCAUCGAAAUUGAGUUCCGACUUGGUGCCAGUGGGCAUCCAGAGGCAACCAAAGAAGGACUUGUCCCGGAUUCUGAGAACGGAUGCUGCUAUAAAGGCUAUAGAACAAAAAGCCAAUUCCAAGAAGUAUAAUAGGCUUUGGCCUAAGGCUGUUUUGGAGGCUCUUGAUGACGCGAUAAGGGAUAACCGUUGGGAAUCUGCUCUUAAGAUUUUCGAGCUUCUCCGUAACCAACACUGGUAUGAGCCAAGAUGCCGAACAUACACAAAGUUAUUGAUGAUGCUUGGAAAGUGCAGGCAACCUGAGGAGGCUUGUUUUCUUUUUGAGAUCAUGCAGUCUGAAGGCCUCCAACCCACUGUUGAUGUUUACACUGCUCUUGUAAUUGCUUAUGGAGAAAGUGGCCAACUUGACAAGGCAUUUUCUAUUGUUGAUGAUAUGAAAUCAGUCUCUGACUGCAAACCAGAUGUGUAUACAUAUUCUGUCCUUGUAAAUUUUUGCACUAAACUCCUUCGUUUUGAUCUGAUUGGAAGAAUUCUUGCUGAGAUGUCAUAUCUGGGAGUUGAAUGCAGCAGUGUAACAUUUAACACUAUUAUCAACGGAUAUGGUAAGGCUAAAAUGUUUGAAGAAAUGGAGAACUCAUUGACAGAUAUGAUUGAAAGCGGCAGCUCCAGUCCAGAUAUUUUCACAUUUAAUUCUGUCAUUGGAGCCUACGGGAACAAUGGGCAAAUUGAGAAGAUGGAGAAAUGGUAUAAUGAAUUUCAGCUAAUGGGAUUGAGCCCAGACAUAAAGACAUUUAAUAUCCUGAUAAGAUCAUAUGGGAAAGCAGGCUUGUAUGAGAAGAUAAAGGCUGUUAUGAAAUUUAUGCAGAGAAGGUUCUUCUCUCCAACCGUUGUUACUUAUAACAUUAUUAUUGAGACUUUUGGAAGGGCUGGUGAUAUUGAGAAGAUGGAUGAGUACUUCAAAAGAAUGAAGCAUCAAGGAAUGAAGCCUAAUGCUGUUACAUACUGUUCUCUUGUUAAUGCUUACAGCAGAGCUGGGCUUAUAAUGAAAGUUGAUUCAAUUUUGAGGCAAGUCGAGAACUCUGAUGUAGUAAUAGAUACCCCAUUCUUUAAUUGCAUCAUCAAUGCCUAUGGUCAGGCUGGUGAUAUCGAAAAGAUGGCUCAGUUGUUUCUGGCUAUGGAGGAAAGAAAAUGCAAGCCUGAUAGUAUCACCUUCGCAACCAUGAUCCAAGCCUAUACUAGCCAAGGAAUGACUGAAGCUGCUCAAGAUUUGGAAAAGAAUAUGAUUACAGUGAAGGAAAAUUCAGGUAUCUUGUGAUUCGUUGUACAUGCUAAUAGUAGUAUCUGUUGGUUUCUGAGAAUCUCUCCUUCAACUAGCACACUAGCACUUGGGUUAUUAUGGAAUAAUGAAGCAACCUUUGAAAAUGGACAAUUCAAAUGAAAGAGGGUGAGUAUUGCUUCCUUAAUCAGCCUAUGGUUAACUUGACAAACAUGAUUCAUUUCUCUGAGGAGUCAACAUACUGUUUGAUUCCAUGAUACUUCCAACAUGGACAGAUCCAAUCAGCAUCUUUUGGUUCUGAGAAGCUGUAUCAAGUUUUUGUCUUUCAUAUCCAGAGAGGGUUUUCAGAAUUCAGGUGAUAGGACUGGUGUCGUAUAUGAGGGAACUUUUGGUACGCUAGUAACAAUACUAUGCGCUGCUAUGUAUAAGCAAGGAAUGAACAACACUUUUGGUGUUAUCCAACUGGUACCUGCGUGAAAUGCAUGGAGUUUGAUGUCUCCGGUAACCAUGUCUCAACGUUUCCAACAUGAGAUCACCUAGCAUCCAUGGACAAGAGGUACUUCCAAGGGACAUCCUUGGUUGAAAAUUUAACUAGUUUGGUGAGCUUUUUGACCUCUAUUCAUUUUGUACAAACAAAUGGAAAAAUAUGAGAGAAGCAUAGGAAAAAGAUGGGAUUUCAGUGCAGAAUGCAUUAACUAUAUUGAAUAAUAUUUCCCUUUUGGCAAAUGUGUGCAUAUCAUAUACCCUUGAAGAUUUUUGAGGCAGAAUAAAUUGUCUGGCUAAAUUGUGUUGCUUUGUGGAUGGUUAAUUGAUUAGAUCAAUUUCAUGUUGCAUAUAGAUUAAUAAUAAUAGUUCUGUUCAUUUCUUUCGUCAAUUGCAGUGGACUAUAAAAAGUUGCUGCUUUCUGGGACGAUAAAGAUGGUGUAAGCAAAAACCUAUUUCUGAUUUCAUUUUAAUUUGGGAUUCGAUUAAUCAGGUUCUAAACAGGAGAACUUCAGAAAGGAUUUCUUUGCUAUUUCCUCAUGGGAUUCAAGGCGCUGAUUAUUGAACAAAGCUUUUUUUGUGGGCUUUGCAAUUGAGAGCCUUCAUUGAAGGAAAAAGAACUUAGAAAUGGAGGUAAGCCCAUCAGUGCUGGGUUUCAGUGUGGAGUUUUGGAUUUGAUGAAAUGAUUUUGGAUUUAAAAUCUUAGUUCAAAUUGGUUGAAUGUGGUUUGAGAAUUCGAGAGUUUGGAAAUUAAAAUUUUAUAAAAAUUUAAUUCGAUUAAUUAUUUUUAAUCAAUUCUCAUAUUGAAUU